ACUCUACGAGUAAAUAUCACAAAAAUCCUGAAAGCCUAAACCGCUCGGGCCGUUCAGGUGGUGACUAGCGGAAAGCAACGCUGUGUGUGUUUGGACACGCCAUUAUGAUUGGACAAAACCGAGAGUUGAAAAUGUGACUAUGUGUGAAAGUUAAUGAACAAAAUGAUUUCGCAAAGUAACAAACAGUUAAAAUAGUGUAAAAAAAAAAAACGUUAAAUUGAAGAAAAUGUUAUAUGAGGAGUUCUAAGAUGGAAGCAAAUAUGCAGCAGUACGAGAUGGAACCAAAACGGGCUCGACCAAUGGCAGAAGCAUCGAAAAUUUCAAAACCGGCCAACGAUGGACAACACUAGGGAUUCAACAAUGACGAGAUCAUCUGGAUCAACUGGAGACGAAAUUCAGCCGCAUCGAACACCCAAGAAGACGACCAUGGAAAUCUGGCAGUUUAGGAAUGUUAUAUGCUUAUACGAAGGAUUUACAGGAAACCAUUGGAAGACGAUCAAGAAGACAACAAUAUCAGCAAGGACGCUUGCAAAGACGAAUAUGGACUACAGCUCAAGAAAGGGUAAAAUUUGUGAGUACAUCGUGGGGAAUCUAAAAAGAUCGGAAAGGAUGGUUAAAGUUCCGAUCUAGGGAUACAUAAACUGAUAAAGCAACGCCAAAGGGAUUAAAAAAGUAGACAAUUGUACUCUAUGGGGAGAGUUUUAUGUCGAAUAAAGCUUCAAACAGUUGUAAUCCAUGGGGGGAUUCAAUAUGUUAAAAACAUUUCAAAACAUUUGCACUUUACGGGGAUAGUCAAAUGAAAAUUAAAGGGAAUGGAUAAAUAACGCUUCAAGGGAAAAUCAAGGGAUAAAAUAAUGCUUCAAGGGAAAAACACCUUUAAACUGAUAAAAUUCAGAGGAAAAAAAUCAGAUCGUUAUCAUUAGAAUGAUAAUUGAACCAACUAAUUAUCUUGCAAAUUCAGCAUUUAUUGCAAAUUGCUAAAAUAAACAAAUUAAUUUAAUGGGUUUGACAAAUUUGAAAACACAAAGUGAUGUACAGAUUUCAUAAAAAGUUGGAAGAACAGAAUUGAUAUUUUAACAUACGCAGUAUUGCAAUGACAAGAUGAUAGGAUGUAUAGAUCAAUGAAAAACUUUAUAGAGUAAUUUUUUUUUAUUCAAGUAUAAAAAUAAUAGUCAAUUAGAACUGAUUUCUUUUUGUAUUAAAAAUAAUAGAACUGAUUUCAUAUAAAAAUAUCAACAAGAUUUAUAAAUUUGUAAGUAAAUUUUAAUUUCAAUUUUGCACAUAAAUUAAAUGAUAGAUUCCUGAAAAUUAUAAAAUAGUAUUCAUGCGAAAAAAACAAGCAAGAAAUUUGUGUGGGAGAAACAAAACUAAAAAACUGAAGUAUGGCAGAGACACAAGGAUGAUCGACGCGUUCGUAUGCUGAGAAGUUCUACGCGUUCGUAUGCAGAAGUUUGUGAUGGCAAGAUGGUGAGUGGCAAAGUCAUGCGGGAGGUUGGACAGGUAACGGUGUAGAUGUUGUUGUAAAAGGUCAUAUCAAUGAGGAUCAAGUCGAAUUAAAUCGCAUUUUUUGUAACGAGACAUUCACGUAAAACAAAUUACUAAAUCGAAAUGUGGAAUUAAGCGAAGUAAAGAUGAUUGAAACAUCAAUUAUGGAACAAAAAUGCAAGUUGAGAUCAUACUGCACGUCUGAAACUAUUGAAAAGGAGAAGUUCAUGAUGAACAAAUGAUAACAUAAUCCGAUGUCAUUAAUUUACAAAAGCCAAAGUUGCAAAUUACACGAAAAGACAAUUUUGGACAAACAACAUUUCCUAAACAUUUGGAAAAAGAAUUACAUCAACCGAUAUCAAUAAUUUGAGAUUGUCAAAGACACAAAGCAACUGGAAAAGUCAAUUUUGGACAAAAAUAUUGGAUUUACGAACAAUUCACAAUACUCAGCAAGUGAGAAGUCAAUGCACUCUCAAAAUUGACCACAGUCAACUCACAGCUGGGUUAUGAAGCAUAAUUCAUUAUGGAAACGACAAUUGCACUAAUCGACGAAAUUCAACACCUUAGCCUCGAAAACUGACCAAUUGAUCAAGUCACUGUGGAAUGAAUAGCCUCACGAGGAAGACAAUUUUUGAUGGAAGACGACAACGAUAACAACCAGCCGAUCAACAAAGUUCUACAACAACAACAAAUUUUGCUUACAGUGAAAAAAAUGCAAUGAUUUUUUUUAGAAGAGAUAAUGAAAAUUAAUUUCAAAUGCAAGUUUAUGUAAAUCAGUUUCAACGAAAAUAAUUUUACAAGAGAAGUUCAAAACAGUAAUUCAAGUAAUUUAACAGGACCAAAGUUCAAAAGAGUAAUGAAAAUAAUUUUACAGUAGAAAAAUCAAAAGAGCAAUUAUAAUUAUAAAGCAAUUUUCAAGAAACCACAAGAAGAACAAAUUGUAAACCGCACGAUCACUACACCCGACAAUAUUCUUUCCAUAGAUGAUCAUUUCUUUCAGACGAUCAUCUAGCUGAUAAGUGUGGGGGAGAUUAACCGAACCAAUUUUUUUAAAUAAUUUUUUUUAUAGCCAGCCAAUUAUAUUUUUUAUGAUUUUUUGCAAAGUUUUUUUUUUCACAAAUCAAAUUAUUAGUUUUGGGAAUAUUCUUCCAACCUACAAAUAACUUUCGAUAGAUGUUCUUAAUGCUUUUCAAGUAUACAAACAUCUAGCUGGUAAGUGUGGGGGAAUGCAGCGACCUCAAAUUUAAAUCAUUAAAUUUGUCCAUUUUUCGAACCUCACCACAGUUCUGACCAUGCGCGCUUACGCAAGCAUAAAUAAUUUUACCCGUCGACUCGCGUUGCGCGACAAAUAAUUAAGCUUAUGUACAGGUGUGGAUCAUGAGUCAUCCUCACCUGAAAAGCCCUUUAUUAAAUUUCGCCAAUUGUUAGGCAAUCAAAAAAAUGGUUAAGCUUUCAAUUAUGAAUGUGCGAUGUUAUUACACAGGGGAAAUUGAGGGUGUGGCUUGACCAAAUUCAUUGGCAUGUUUGUUCAAUGGAGAAUUCGACCUUCUCAUUAUUGACCAACAUUUUGGAGAAUGUUUUAGGAACAUAAUUUUGAUAUUCCAAUAACAUAAUUUAAAGUUUCACGACAAUGGUUCGAACCCAUGACUUCCGAUUUUGAGGUGUACUCACUACACCAUACGGAAAGUCAUGAAGAAUUGCAGAGGUCUGCAUAAUUUAAUUCAUGA